AUUGAACGCUGGCGGCAGGCCUAACACAUGCAAGUCGAGCGGAUGAAGGGAGCUUGCUCCUGGAUUCAGCGGCGGACGGGUGAGUAAUGCCUAUGAAUCUGCCUGGUAGUGGGGGAUAACGUCCUGAAACGGGCGCUAAUACCGCAUACGUCCUGAGGGAGAAAGUGGGGGAUCUUCGGACCUCACGCUCUCAGAUGAGCCUAGGUCGGAUUAGCUAGUUGGUGGGGUAAAGGCCUACCAAGGCGACGAUCCGUAACUGGUCUGAGAGGAUGAUCAGUCACACUGGAACGGAGACACAGACCAGACGCCUACGGGAGGCAGCAGUGGGGAAUAUGGGACAAUGGGCGAGAGCCUGAUCCAGCCAUGCCGCGUGUGUGAAGAAGGUCUUCGGAUUGUAAAGAACUUUAAGUGGGGGGGAAGGGCAGUAAGUUAAUACCUGGCUGUUUUGACGGUACCAACAGAAUAAGCACCGGCUAACUUCGUG
rnacentral:rRNA from 1 species